CUACGAAGAUGAGAUGUUUGAACUCUCUCUUUCUGAAGCUUCAGUGGAGAAAACCUUUAUCAGAUUCUGAGUAGC
rnacentral:snoRNA from 1 species